CCCAAAGAUGGUGUGACUUCAUGGGAAAGCCUGCAGAGUAGUGUGUGACUGAAGUUUGGCCCAUGGAAAGGACCCAUGCCAGGGAAGUUCGGGAAGAAGUGAAGCCUGCUGGAAGGACUCACGUCGGAGCAGUUCGUGGAGAACUCUCUCCUGUGUGAGGGACCCACGUUGGAGAAUUUCGUAAAGGACUGUCUCCCUUGGGAGGGAUCCCACGCUGGAGCAGGGGAGGAGUGAGGAGUCCUCCCCCUGAGGAGGAAGGAGCGGCAGAGACAAGGUGUGAGGAACUGACCCCAACCCCC